UGAAAAUUGAGGCACCUUUUCUGAAUAUUUGUUUCGACGUUUCUUCUCCAAGUGCAAGGGCUUUUAAUCUUCCUUAUACACUUCUGUCCCAUGGUAAUCAAACCAUACUCUUCCCCAUACACUUCUCUUCCAUUAGCUUAUACAAUAUUUUCAUCGUCCUAUGUUUUUCUCAAUAUCUUCCCCAAUUUCAAUGCCCUCAUCUCUGGCUGAAUUGCUCAGCAUACUCCGUGAAUCAAAACUAAACAAAGUCCUUAGAAAAUUUGAGGAUUUUCAUUUAAAGGUGACAAGGAACAAGAACAUCAUUGGUGCAAAGUUGUUGAAUUAAUAAAUAGUAACAAAUUAAAUGAGGAGCGGAAAUUGAAGUUCUCUUUAGUUUGGUUUAUCCACUCGAUAUUGGUUUCCCAUGAUCGGUCUACGAUUGUGGGUUUAAACGACAUCAAGACGGUAGAUGAUUUGGAUUUCUUCAACAGUCAUCCAUAGGAAAAAGAGUCAUUUGAUUAGACAUUAACCUAUCUAAAGAAUCAAAUUAAUUUGUGGAAGCAGGGGAAAAUGUAUACUGAAAAGAAGAAUGCAUCUUAUGGUCUGUACGACUUUCCCUGGACAUUAAUGAAUUACAUGGCAACAUUUAAGUCAUAUACAGAUGAAGAUAAGGUCACAAUCAUAGAUAUCUUGAAGGCCCAAUUGAAAGGCGUGACCGUCCUCACUUCAGAAGUAGAGAGCGCGGACGAUGAAUAUUUUGGUGAUCAAAAUAUUAUUCAACGUUGUGUGAAUUCAGUUUCUAGUAAAUGGAAAGAUGUAUUGAGUUCUUCUAAUGAUGGAAAUUUGGAAAAUCUGAGUAAUCGUGUUGUAUCCCUUGAGAAUUUAAUGGUGGAAGUUGUUGCUUAUGUACAGGAAGAAAGAUUGAGGAGAGUUGUUUAGAAUUAAAAAAAUAACAAGAAAAAGUUGAUGAAGAUCUUGCAGAAAGUGAUGAAGAACUUUUUGCAAUUGAUGAAUUCCUUACAGAUGAAGUUAAUGAAGUGGCAGAUGAUGUUGUUGAUAGAGUUACAAGUGAUCUAGUUGAUGAAGUUGCAAUUAAUGCAAUUGAUAAAGUGACUGGUGUUGUAGUUGAAGAAGUGGCAAUUGACAUUGUGGCAGUUAAUGUAGUUUAUGAUGUGGUAGUAGUUCUACUUCCGUGAAUAUUAAUAUUGAUUUUGUAAUGUCAUAUUUGAAGGGUCUCCUUCAAUUCAGAUACUUUUGAAAGUAGGUUCUUAGCGGCUACUUUAAGCCGCAAUUAUCCCUGUAUGCUUAACUUUUAAUA